CGUAAUUAUAAAAAAAUAAAUUGUUUGUAUGUAUAUUUUAGAUUUGGUUUGAUAAUAUAUUUUCUCUAUUUUUUUUUUUUUUGCUUUUUUCCGCACUGUUACAACAGCUAACUUAAAUGAAAACAAAUAAAGGAGUAACAUGUUAUUUUGAUUCAAUUUAGUAGAAGAGAACAUCAGUGCAUCCCUGUGGAGACUCAACCAACUCCUAUAGGUCCCUGUGAGCAAAAGAUCCAAUCGACCUGGCAAACAACAUUCCAAGAAGCUUGCGUUGAAAGCUGACACUGCGUGUCGAGCUGCUGUGCCCGGGCACACGGCGCUGGCAUGGUGGAAUGUUGGCACUGGGCCCACCCCCCCACGGCUCAGUCCCAGGUGUUCGGGAUCCAAGGAAAACAGACGGCAGUGGGAGAGGGAUCGGCGGCCUAAAUUUGAGACAUGAGGUCACGCUUAGGUGCGCUGAAAGCCUGGGAUGGUGUGGAGUGGAGGACAGCGUGAGUGAUCACGAGGAGGCGCGGAGAUCCGGAGCGCGUUCAGCGUGGUAUCCUGGCGCACGGCUGCAGGCCUGGUGCAGACGGGGAACAACAGCGGACCCCACAGUUUUGGGGAAACGGCGAAAGAGACGUCAAGCCUUCCUGUUGCCGUGGCUGAGAGGGACCGUGAGGAAAAGCAGGUCUUUGUGCACACGGCUCACCACAGAGAGAUGUCCUCAAACACGUCACGGUUUCUCCACCAUAAUAAUAAUAAUAAAUAAUAAUAAUAAUAACAAUAAUAAUGAUAAUACGUUUAAUUUGUAAUGCACUUUCCAUUAGAAAAAAAUCUCAAAAUGCUACAGAAUAAAAAAAAAUGAACCAACAGCAGAGAACAUUAAAAGCCACACAAAGGAAGAAGGCCUGAAUUAAAAAGGAAAAAUGGCCUGAUUGACCUUGUGCUCCGCCCAUGUCCCACAGGCACAGCUGUGUCUUUACUACAAAAACAACAAAAAGACAUUCGACAGCUACAUCGUUUUAACAGGACGUUGAACUAAACACACUUUGUAUAUUGUUGUUGGGUAGGUGUGAUGAUAAAAAUUGAUCCAAUCUUGUAUGUAAUAAUCUCUGUGAAUUUAUUUAUAAAAUAAAAAAUUAACAGAGUAAUGUGUUGCAUUUGUCAAAUCAAAAAUCUGUAAAUAACCUAAUUACUUUUCAUCCGAUCAUUGUCACAAUUAAGUUUGGUAAUACAUACAUAAUACAUACAGUAUUAGCCUAAAAUAAAACACAA